rnacentral:rRNA from 1 species
CUACGGGAGGCAGCAGUGGGGAAUAUUGGACAAUGGGGGCAACCCUGAUCCAGCAAUGCCGCGUGUGUGAAGAAGGUCUUCGGAUUGUAAAGCACUUUCACUAGGGAAGAUGAUGACGGUACCUAGAGAAGAAGCCCCGGCUAACUUCGUGCCAGCAGCCGCGGUAAUACGAAGGGGGCUAGCGUUGCUCGGAAUGACUGGGCGUAAAGGGCGCGUAGGCUGUUUGUACAGUCAGAUGUGAAAUCCCCGGGCUUAACCUGGGAACUGCAUUUGAUACGUGCAGACUAGAGUCCGAGAGAGGGUUGUGGAAUUCCCAGUGUAGAGGUGAAAUUCGUAGAUAUUGGGAAGAACACCGGUUGCGAAGGCGGCAACCUGGCUCGGAACUGACGCUGAGGCGCGAAAGCGUGGGGAGCGAACAGGAUUAGAUACCCUGGUAGUCCACGCUGUAAACGAUGUGUGCUGGAUGUUGGGUGAUUUUAUCAUUCAGUGUCGGAGCUANCGCGUUAAGCACACCGCCUGGGGAGUACGGCCGCAAGGUUGAAACUCAAANGAAUUGACGGGGGNCCNCACAAGCGGUG